rnacentral:rRNA from 1 species
ACCGAGUGCGAGGGCAUAGAGCCCUCGCUUUUGUGCAUCGUAAGGUGGUACACGAAUAAGGGCUGGGCAAGACCGGUGCCAGCCGCCGCGGUAACACCGGCAGCCCGAGUGAUGGCCGCUUUUAUUGGGCCUAAAGCGUCCGUAGCCGGCCGUUCAGGUCCGUCGGGAAAUCCACUGGCUCAACCAGUGGGCGUCCGGCGGAAACCGAUCGGCUUGGGACAGGGAGACCAGAGGGGUACGUCCGGGGUAGGAGUGAAAUCCUGUAAUCCUGGACGGACCACCGGUGGCGAAAGCGCCUCUGGAGAACUGAUCCGACGGUGAGGGACGAAAGCUGGGGUCUCGAACCGGAUUAGAUACCCGGGUAGUCCCAGCUGUAAACAAUGCUCGCUAGGUGUGUCGCAGGCUACGAGCCUGCGAUGUGCCGUAGGGAAGCCGAGAAGCGAG